AGUGAACGCUGGCGGUAGGCCUAACACAUGCAAGUCGAACGGCAGCACAGUAAGAGCUUGCUCUUACGGGUGGCGAGUGGCGGACGGGUGAGGAAUACAUCGGAAUCUACUUUUUCGUGGGGGAUAACGUAGGGAAACUUACGCUAAUACCGCAUACGACCUACGGGUGAAAGCAGGGGAUCUUCGGACCUUGCGCGAUUGAAUGAGCCGAUGUCGGAUUAGCUAGUUGGCGGGGUAAAGGCCCACCAAGGCGACGAUCCGUAGCUGGUCUGAGAGGAUGGUCAGCCACACUGGAACUGAGACACGGUCCAGGCUCCUAAGGGAGGGCGCAGUGGGGAAUAUUGGGCAAUGGGGGGAAACCUGAUCCAGCCAUACCGCGUGGGUGAAGAAGGCCUUCGGGUUGUAAAGCCCUUUUGUUGGGAAAGAAAAGCAGCAGGUUAAUACCCCGCUGUUCUGACGGUACCCAAAGAAUAAGCACCGGCUAACUUCGUG
rnacentral:rRNA from 1 species